rfam:Myotis davidii contig86164, whole genome shotgun sequence.
UCCUGACACCUCCCCACUCUGAACACACCCGAUCUCAUCUGAUUUCGGAAGCAAAGCAAGGUCGGGCUGGGUGAGUGCUUGGAUGGGAGGCCACAGGCAAUUGCAAUAGCGUGUUGGAGG